UACGUAGGGACCGAGCGUUGUCCGGAAUCAUUGGGCGUAAAGAGCGUGUAGGCGGCUUGCUAAGUCUUGCGUGAAAUCUCGGGGCUCAACCCCGAGCGGUCGUGGGAAACUGGCAGGCUAGAGUGCGGGAGAGGAGAAUGGAAUUCCUGGUGUAGCGGUGAAAUGCGCAGAUAUCAGGAAGAACACCCGUGGCGAAGGCGGUUCUCUGGAACGCAACUGACACUGAGGGACGAAAGCUAGGGGAGCGAAUGGG
rnacentral:rRNA from 1 species